rnacentral:rRNA from 1 species
GAUGAACGCUGGCGGCGUGCUUAACACAUGCAAGUCGAACGGGAAACCUUUUAUUGAAGCUUCGGCAGAUUUAGCUGGUUUCUAGUGGCGGACGGGUGAGUAACGCGUGGGUAACCUGCCUUAUACAGGGGGAUAACAGUCAGAAAUGGCUGCUAAUACCGCAUAAGCGCACAGAGCUGCAUGGCUCAGUGUGAAAAACUCCGGUGGUAUAAGAUGGACCCGCGUUGGAUUAGCUGGUUGGUGGGGUAACGGCCCACCAAGGCGACGAUCCAUAGCCGGCCUGAGAGGGUGAACGGCCACAUUGGGACUGAGACACGGCCCAGACUCCUACGGGAGGCAGCAGUGGGGAAUAUUGCACAAUGGGGGAAACCCUGAUGCAGCGACGCCGCGUGAAGGAAGAAGUAUCUCGGUAUGUAAACUUCUAUCAGCAGGGAAGAUAAUGACGGUACCGGACUAAGAAGCCCCGGCUAACUACGU